UCCUUUUUAAUUGCUUUUAUCAUCAUUCAUUUUCUAUAAUUGAUUUUAGAGCUUCGUUUUCGUGCUUAAUUGCUUGAUUGUUGUGCUGUUUAUAUUUUGUCUUUACUCUUGUUUCUUGUGCAAAUCGAAUUGUCGUUGUUGUUUGGCUUAUAUUUAAUGUCGUCUGCUGCUUUUAUUUGGUUCGAAUUUAUUGUAAUUUGCUAUCACUACACUAUAUACUGCCUGUAAUAGCAUUGAUUUGUUACAUGUAGAUUUGUUCUGAAAAUUAUUGUUGAAGUAAUAUAAUAGAGGUAUGCUUUAUUCAAGCUUUAUUAUUUCUGCUUAAUUGAAAAUUGGUAGCUCUAAUCAAACUUAAUUGAACCUAAAAGAGAUGAAAUGGACUUAAUUAUUCUUUGAACUAGUUGAUUUAAGGUGAACGAACAAGACAUUCACUUGCUAAGAGUGGUAAAAGUGUUGUUAGGAAUUGUUAAUUUAAAGAGUAAGGGAGUCCUAGCCUAAAAUUAUGACACACAUAGGAAAUGCAGUGUUAAUUUAAGUCCUAAGAAUCUUGUAUAUGUUAAUUUUUUGAGUGCUUUUAUUUCAUUCUAGCAAGUGUUUGAUAAUGUAUGUUAUAGCCUAUUUUACUCUGUAGUGCUUCUAAUGGUAGAGUUUCAUGCACUUGGUUAGAACCUUGAAUAGUUGAAUGUGAGUUGGUUUGGUUAAGUUUUUCUUCGAAUUUUAAAGACUAGCUACGUAUUAUUCAUACCUAAAGUCAUGUUAUUUGAAAUUUGUUCUAUUUGUAUUUCCAUUUUUUAUACGGAGUAAGUCUUUAAUGUACAAUCCCUCAAGUUAAUUUGUCCUAGAUAGCAUGUUUUAUAGUAGUCUGCUUUGUUACCACACUUAGAUUGUAUAUUCAUUGGGGUCAAUUUUGGUCUCGUUAUUUUAAAAAAAAAAUUAUAUUUGAAGCGAUUUUGGGUGGUUUGUUGUUGUACCUUUGUGUGAUUGAGAUAGCUAAAAAUAGGGUAGUUCUAUGGUGGCCAAAUGGUUUUUGCUUGGAGGUGAAUCGGUGGAAGCGAGUGCGACUCAGGGAACUUGGAUCAAGUUUGUUGCGUGUAAGACUCAAAAUUUGGUUUAGUUUUUGUGUGAAUUGUAUCCUAUCCUUAAUGUAGGAGAAAGUUUCUAUAAGUAGUUGAAUGUCUCCAAAGUCAUUGCUAAAGCUGCUUGCCCGUUGAAUAGAUAUUUGCCUUAAUGCUUAUUAAUUUCUUAAUGGGACUUGGUCGGGAAACGAAUCAGGUACAAGUUAGGUAUGCAAAUGAAGUAAACAAGCUGUUCACGAGUGUAUCGGCUCAUUGACGCCCCUAGUUUCAUCCUUGUAAAUUACAACUUUUGAUUGCUUUGGGGUGUUGAUUCUUCUACUUAGAGGUUGUUCUUUACUCCUUUGGCUUCUUCUUGAUUGAGUGAAUGCUUAUGAUAUUGCAGAGAUAACAAGAGCCUAACGGGUACAACACCUUAUGCAAGUGUUAAUACUCAUCUUGGAAUUGAUGCCUAGGAAUCUAACUAUUUGCAAACAAUUGAAGAAUAAUAUGAGGAAGAAAAAUGGAUUACACUAACAGAGACUGAGGCUUUCAUUAAAUAUCAUUUUUUCUUUCUCUUCUAGUUUCCAAUUAGACUGAGGCUUUCAUUAAAUACCAAUUUUUCUUUCUCUUCUAGUUUCCAAUUCCUGUUUAGUUUAACACUUGUGAACAACCAAAGAGAAAUGUUAGUUUAUUAAGGUGUUUUUGUAAAUGACAAUUAUAUUUAUCUAUAUAGUAACUUUUUAUUGAUUCGUUAAA